UACGGAGGAUCCGAGCGUUAUCCGGAUUUAUUGGGUUUAAAGGGUGCGUAGGUGGAUUGGUAAGUCAGUGGUGAAAAGCUGCCGCUCAACGGUAGUCUUGCCAAUGAUACUGUUUUUCUUGAGUAUGGUUAAGGUAGGUGGAAUGUGCAGUGUAGCGGUGAAAUGCAUAGAGAUUGCACAGAAGGCCGAUUGCGAAGGCAGCUUACUGAACCAUAACUGACGCUCAUGCACGAAAGCGUGGGGAUCAAACAGGA
rnacentral:rRNA from 1 species